rfam:Jaapia argillacea MTCL 33604 unplaced genomic scaffold JAAARscaffold_4, whole genome shotgun sequence.
UGCCCCAUGGCUGAGUUGGUUACAGCGUCCGACUGUUAUUCGUUCUGUGCAUAAUUUGACAUCGGAAGGUCGUGAGUUCGAGCCUCACUGGGGCAG